GGGAGAUUAGCUCAGUCGGUUUCAGAGCACCUGCCUUACAAGCAGGGGGUCACUGGUUCGAGUCCAGUAUCUCCCA
rnacentral:tRNA from 1 species